CCUUCGAUAGCUCAGUUGGUAGAGCGGUGGACUGUAGAAAAAGUGAAAGUGGCUUAGCUCAAAAUGCAUUUGUGGAUCACUUUCAAACAAUAGAAAUCCAUAGGUCACUGGUUCAAAUCCGGUUCGAAGGA
rnacentral:tRNA from 1 species